GUCCCUGUAGCACAAGGAAUAACGCGUUGAAACUUCUGAUCCAAAGGUCGUGGGUUUGAAUCCCACCUGAGAUG